rnacentral:lncRNA from 1 species
CUUACUUCACCUCUGUUGUCCAUAGAGGUCAACAUUUUAUUAAAAUCAACCAGAUGCUCCGCAGGGCGUAGCUUUAUACGACCGCAGAGGUUGAACCCUGAACGGUUGGGGCAAGUAUGGACACAACAUUCAAGCUGGAUUCAGCUCUAAAUUUGGAUUGUGAUUAAAUAGUUGACACAGCAUAGGUUUCUGACACACAAUGAAUGUGUUCUAAUGAACUUAAAAUUUUUGUUUUCUCUUAGAGCAAUUCACUAUGCUGUUGAAUAUUAAUCCUCUCAAAAAAAUGUUUGAAGAAAUUUUCUUUUUAUUUAUGAAAUUUCAAAUGAGAAAAAUUGAACCCAAUUUUUUUAAUCACAUCCCCCUUUCCCUUAUUCCAAAACUAAUCUCAAUUAAAAUUUCUAAUGGAGUUUGCAACAAUAACUACUCAUUUAAAUACAUCAUAAAAUAUUAAGAUGUAAAAAAACUGC